AGCGUAGGCGGGAUCGUAAGUUAGGAGUUUAAUACAUGGGCUUAACCCGUGGCUGGCUUUUAAUACUGCGGUUCUUGAGUAUGGGAGAGGGCGAUGGAAUUCCAGGUGUAGCGGUGGAAUGCGUAGAUAUCUGGAAGAACACCAGUAGCGAAGGCGGUCGCCUGGCCUAAUACUGACGCUGAGGCUCGAAAGCUAGGGGAGCAAACAGGAUUAGAUACCCUGGUAGUCCUAGCCGUAAACGAUGAACACUAGUUGCCGGAGGAGUCAAUCUUUUUGGUGACGAAGCUAACGCAUUAAGUGUUCCGCCUGGGAAGUACGCUCGCAAGAGUGAA
rnacentral:rRNA from 1 species